AUGCCAACCUUAAAAAGGGGAGCAGCUCCAAGAGCCGAGCGUCUUCAAGCACAUCUCCAUUCCCACCAGGACGACGGGUCACUGUCACGGUUCAGCAGCCGCAACUGUGACUCAAAAACACACCGCAGCAUCAUGACCGUGGAGGAGACGAACCGCGAACGGGCAUCCACCUGCUUUUCCACGACCGAAGAGUGCGGACGCCCAACGGCAGCACCGCGCAUCAGAUCUUUGUUCAGCCGCAAGCAAAGGUGCUUCGCUCAGCAGCGACCUGUUCCGGUCCGAGCUGCUGCGUGCGGAGGACGGGAAGGACGAGGAGGACGAAGAGGAUGCCGAGGAACACCGGAGGAUCGGGGGCCCAUCGGGGACAGGAAAGGGGCCCUCAGCAGGGGCCAAAUCCAACGUCUUCAGGCGGGAGCACAGCAGCUGAGAAGAAGUGAAUGGAAGCGCCAAUGUGGUGUCCUCCACUUGAAGAUGGACCUUCCACCAGUAGGACGCAAGAUGCGCUCAAUGAUGCAAUUCCACUUUCUGCCUUGGCUCCUGUACGGAAGCUUCCAGAACCCAUCAGCUCUUCUCAGGCGGGAGCGGAGACCCCAGUCCGAGGCUCGCUGCCAGGUCGUCGUGUGACAGCGCUGAGCCGCCGGCGCUCGUCCAGCAGGAUGCGGACUAAGAAGGAGACUGGCGGAGGAGCCGUGGCGGUUGGGCCUGCAGGCAAUGUUGGAGCAGGUGAGCCUCACGCCUCCACCACCGCAGGGGUCUCCUCCCUCGCUCACCUCUCCCCUCCCCUCCGUCUCCGUCUCCACGGGCGCGACGCGCGCGCGCUCGGAACCCCGUCCUGUUUGAAGUCUUGCUUUCGCUUGUGCGAAAAAGCUUCCCGGAGACACAGACCUAAAUAAAAAAAACGACAUGCCUCA
rnacentral:lncRNA from 1 species